UACAGAGGGUGCGAGCGUUGUCCGGAAUCACUGGGCGUAAAGGGCGCGUAGGUGGCCUGGUAAGUAGGGAGUGAAAUCUCGCGGCUCAACUGCGAGGCUGCCUCCUAAACUGUCAGGCUCGAGCAGAGUAGAGGCAGGUGGAAUUCCCGGUGUAGCGGUGGAAUGCGUAGAGAUCGGGAAGAACAUCGGUGGCGAAGGCGGCCUGCUGGGCUCUUGCUGACACUGAGGCGCGACAGCGUGGGGAGCAAACAGG
rnacentral:rRNA from 1 species